rnacentral:rRNA from 1 species
AUAUGACUCUCGGCAACGGAUAUCUCGGCUCUCGCAUCGAUGAAGAACGUAGCGAAAUGCGAUACUUGGUGUGAAUUGCAGAAUCCCGUGAACCAUCGAGUCUUUGAACGCAAGUUGCGCCCGAAGCCAUUAGGCYGAGGGCACGUCCGCCUGGGUGU